AAAUAAUGGUUUGCCCUAGAAAUAGGCAAGGACCUGAAUGCUGCUAUUUCCACAUGCUUUUAGCUUGUUUUGGAACAGCUGAGCAGUUUUUCAGAACAGUUGCUGCAGUAGGGGUAUUCAGACAUUGUUGACAAAGCAAUGAAACAUUAAGCUGAUUUUGCCAGACAUAAUUGCAAUUAUCUUUUGCUAUUAUGGUCUUGAGGGUAACAAUGCUGCUCACUGUGCAAGUGGCUGUGAUGUUCUGGACUAUCUCUAUGUUGCCACGCAUUGGUUCUAGCUAUGAGCUCCAGGAUACCAUCCAUUCUUUGAAAAAUGAGAAUGUCCAUCUUCACCACCGUCUGGAGAAUCUCACCCGCACUCUCCGCAAACUGAAGCAUCUGCUCUUGGAUCACUCACGAGACAUGGGAGGACAGCAUGACAACUCACUGCAUGCCUUGAAUGAAUGGACACAACAUGGUAUCGGUCCUGAGAAACAUCACCUGCUGGAACAGGCUUUCUGCUGGCCUGAUCUCCAAGGAGCUGCCAAUUCUAUCUUCACUGUACCUGCCCUCUUCCUCCUUACUCCAAUCAUUGUCUGGUUGAGCCAUCUGCUUUUCUGACUUCUGAGAACUUGAGAAAACAGAAAUCACUAUUGUUAGCCUGGUCCCAGAUCUGUUUGUGCUUUCUUGCCAACUCCUAUGGUCAGUGUCUCACGCAUGAGUUAGUGUAGGAGCCCGUAUUAUCGGCAUAUUAAACAGUGUUUAAGAAAUAUAUUACCUUCAACAGUGUUAUCCUGUGAUCAAGCCAUCAAUGUUUUGUGAUUAUUGGUGUUGCAAAAAUGUUAUCGGGUUAGCAAUUAGCAUGUUUGACAUUUCAGUGGAAAUACUACUAUUAUCAGCUUUUUGAUAAGCGAUUUAGCUAAAAAAUGCACUGAGUAUUAUCGGCAUAACCCAGUUAUUGGCCACCUUGCUAUUUUGUUCAAUUACAAGAUAUAUCCAUUUAAAUUUGUGAAAAAAAGUGACACCAACCUCCUCUCUGAAAUGUUUACUAGAUAGUUGACUAGUUGGCUAGCCUUCCGGUUAAAAAAAUUUACUUGCCCGUCAACUUUUCAUUGUGUUGGCCGGUGUGCAUUCCUGUGGACUCUGGUUCUUCACCAACAUCUUCUUCAGUGUUGUAACCAAAUAAUGUCUCAUAAUUUGAUUUACAGAUGAAUCUUAUGUUUUGAGAAAGUAGAUAACAGUUUAAUACUAAAAUAUAAAUGAGUAUGAAUAAUUUACAUCAAAUAAAACUUUCAUUUCAGUGAUGUGCAUUGACAUAAACAAUGAAAACACGGUUGGAGUUUGUGUUGCAGAGGAAGAAAUACACAAGAUGGGUUGAAUAAAUAUAUGUAAAUUAUAUUUUAGACAUGUAUUUUUUACAAAUAAAUAAUUGCAUAUGAAAACUAUUUAAUCUCAACCUCCAUCCCUAUAUUGUCACAAAAAUCCAGCUCAACCACCACCUCUAGAUCCCAUUGCACACACCUGCAGUGGAACCAGUGCUGGCAGAAGUCACAGCACACCCAAUGGUACCUCUGACUCACACUCCUGCGGGGAGAUUGCAGGCGGAUCACGUUCCCUACAGCAAACACAGCAGGUGGUGUCUUCUUUUAUUUAAAAAAUAAUAAAUAAAACAUAUAAUUGAUUAACAUGGUUUGCAAAUGUUGAAGGACUACAGCAACAAUAGUAAUUGAUACAACUGAGAGAAAAACAAGCAGAUUCUGAAGUACCUGAGGGUGGUGCCAUGGGCGCGGUGACAGAGGUAGCUGGUGGAGCUUUUCUCUUCCUUUUCUGUGCUGCAGUUGAGAAAGUAAGUAGUGUUAGACAGAGCAUGUUUCAGAAAAAACAUUUUCUACUUUUUUACAUCAAUACCACUAGAGGAAGCUUCAGAAGUUUUGGAAGAGGUGGACAUGCUGGUGCUAUGGACUGUAGAUAUGUAAAGAGA
rnacentral:lncRNA from 13 species